rnacentral:misc_RNA from 1 species
GUAUUGUAUUGCGUUAGACGCGACAUACAUUCCAUGAUACUUUGUUACAGUGUGUGUGUAAAGACGUAGGACCACAGCGAGAGGAACAGAGUCCCCAGGCCACAGAACUACAAGGGUGCACAGGUGUGAGUGGAUGUGUAAACAGAGCGUGCACGUGUCCCCUUUUGAGGACCAGCAACAACUCGUGUCGACAGUUCAGUAAUGAUCCUUCCGCAGGUUCACCUACGGAAA